CACUCCUACGGGAGGCAGCAGUGGGGAAUUUUGGACAAUGGGCGAAAGCCUGAUCCAGCAAUGCCGCGUGAGUGAAGAAGGCCUUCGGUUUGUAAAGCUCUUUUGUCAGGGAAGAAACGGUGAAAGCUAAUAUCUUUUGCUAAUGACGGUACCUGAAGAAUAAGCACCGGCUAACUACGUGCCAGCAGCCGCGGUAAUACGUAGGGUGCAAGCGUUAAUCGGAAUUACUGGGCGUAAAGCGUGCGCAGGCGGUUUUGUAAGUCUGAUGUGAAAUCCCCGGGCUCAACCUGGGAAUUGCAUUGGAGACUGCAAGGCUAGAAUCUGGCAGAGGGGGGUAGAAUUCCACGUGUAGCAGUGAAAUGCGUAGAUAUGUGGAGGAACACCGAUGGCGAAGGCAGCCCCCUGGGUCAAGAUUGACGCUCAUGCACGAAAGCGUGGGGAGCAAACAGGAUUAGAAACCCCGGUAGUCCCAUGAU
rnacentral:rRNA from 1 species